UGGGGCGUAGCCAAGUGGUCUAAGGCACCGGGUUUUGAUCUCGGCACUCGCAGGUUCGAAUCCUGCCGCCCCAGCCA
rnacentral:tRNA from 1 species